CCCUUAGAUGUUCUGGGCAGCACGCGAGCUACAAUGGUCUUCGCAAACGGAUGCAUUCUCGAAGGAGAAUGCCAAUCUUGGAAUCUAUGCCUUGGUCGGGACAGUUGCUUGCAAUUUUUCGACUCGAACCAGGAAUUCCUUGUAAUCGUGAUUCAUCACAUCACGAUGAAUACGUCCCUUCCCUUUGUACACACCGCCCGUCGCUCCUACCGAUCGAAGAGUUAGGUGAAUUGUUUUGAUCGAUAAGAUUUGACUAUGGUCAACUCUCGUUGUGAAAUUCUGUGAAUCUGACUGUUUAGAGGAAGGAAAAGUCGUAACA
rnacentral:rRNA from 1 species